GUUCUGAGUUAGCCCCGUUGGUAGAGCAUGAGACUCUCAAUUUCAGGGUAGUGGGUUCGAGCCCCACGUUGGGCA